UACAAUUACAUCGGGAUCGAAGUCGGGCUCGAAAAGCAAUUUAUUUAAAAACAACACACCGCGCCGAAAUUCAAUUUUUUGGAGAGUUCCACGCAGCCAUGUUGAAUUUGAUAAUGAUGUUGUACGGGAGGAAGGGGCGAAAGAGAGUUACUCGAAAAGGAGAAGCAUGAUAAACUUUGGAUGGAAUUUAUGUUUUAACAGAAGAUGAAGACAUUUACGACCCUGUUUAGCGUUGCAGUGUGGACUGUGCCUGAGACGAUUCCCCAUAACGCCGGCUAUGUAGACAGCUUGUGAAAAUGGAAUCCAAAUGCUCACAAGAAAUGACAAAAGCAGUAUGAAGAUUAACACAACGAAAUUGUGCCAGAAAAGUUUGAAGUAGCUAUGGGAAUGAUCAACAUUGAACUUGCUGAGGCUCUCUUCCUGAAAGUGACUUGACCAGAUAUUUGGCUACCCAGUAUGAGUAUCUUUCUGCUACAUUUAAUAAAAUAUCGUGGAGGAACACGAAGAAAAGGGCUGCGCACCUCAACAUAUUCAAGGUCAAGCAGCUUUUUACCAUAUCCAUAGUAUCUUGCUGCUAAAUGAAAGAAUUAGUGUGGAGGAGCAGAGAAAAGGGCACCUCAACAUGUUCAAGGUCAAGCAGAAAUUAGGAGCUAGGGGUGCUUCUCCAGAGCUGAAAACUUCUUGGCAUGAAGAGAAGAAGAAGCAAGAAAAAGCAGUUUUAAAUAUUGAUUACAUCUUCAUAGUACAAAAAAUGAUUCUAAAGAUAAUACUAUCUAUGAAAUUAGAAAGCUGAAGUUGCGUUCUGAUGAAUGUGAGAAUGUCUUUAAAGAACAGGACACCAAAAGUGCCAUUCUCAAAUCAAAGCACUCUAAAAGGCAGAGCAUAAGAAGAACUAGGACAAAUAAAGAAUCUAAAAGAGUCAAACCUAUGGAUGUAUUAAUUGAACAGAGAUGAGCUAUUAGAGAUGAAAUAUCUGAGUUGCUACUGUUUUGCACAAACUCAAUGUUAGAUAAGAAAAAUAUACCUAGUGUU